rnacentral:rRNA from 1 species
UGCCAGACUCCUACGGGAGGCAGCAGUGAGGAAUAUUGGUCAAUGGACGGAAGUCUGAACCAGCCAUGCCGCGUGCAGGAAGACGGCUCUAUGAGUUGUAAACUGCUUUUGUACAAGGGUAAACCUGAAUACGUGUAUUCAGCUGAAAGUACUGUACGAAUAAGGAUCGGCUAACUCCGUGCCAGCAGCCGCGGUAAUACGGAGGAUGCGAGCGUUAUCCGGAUUUAUUGGGUUUAAAGGGUGCGUAGGCGGACUGGAAAGUCAGCGGUAAAAUCGAGAGGCUCAACCUCUUUCCGCCGUUGAAACUGUCGGUCUUGAGUGGGCGAGAAGUAUGCGGAAUGCGUGGUGUAGCGGUGAAAUGCAUAGAUAUCACGCAGAACUCCGAUUGCGAAGGCAGCAUACCGGCGCCCGACUGACGCUGAGGCACGAAAGCGUGGGGAUCGAACAGGAUUAGAUACCCUGGUAAGC